UUAGCUCAGUUGGCUAGAGCGCCUGCUCGACACGCAGGAGGUCGUUGGUUCAAGUCCA
rnacentral:tRNA from 1 species